GUCGAGUGGCAAACGGGUGAGUAACGCGUAGACAACCUGCCGUAAAGAUGGGGACAACAGUCCGAAAGGACUGCUAAUACCGAAUGUUGUAAGUCUUCCGCAUGGAAGACUUACUAAAGGUGGCCUCUACUUGUAAGCUAUCGCUUUACGAUGGGUCUGCGUCUGAUUAGCUGGUUGGUGGGGUAACGGCCUACCAAGGCGACGAUCAGUAGCCGGUCUGAGAGGAUGAACGGCCACAUUGGAACUGAGACACGGUCCAGACUCCUACGGGAGGCAGCAGUGGGGAAUCUUCCGCAAUGGGCGCAAGCCUGACGGAGCAACGCCGCGUGAGUGAAGAAGGGUUUCGACUCGUAAAGCUCUGUUGUCGGGGACGAACGUGGAGACGGCGAAUAGCCGUUUCCAAUGACGGUACCUGACGAGGAAGCCACGGCUAACUACGUGCCGGCAGCCGCGGUAAUACGUAGGUGGCGAGCGUUGUCCGGAAUUAUUGGGCGUAAAGGGAGCGCAGGCGGGAAGGUAAGUCUAUCUUAAAAGUGCGGGGCUCAACCCCGUGAGGGGAUGGAAACUAUCUUUCUUGAGUGCAGGAGAGGAAAGCGGAAUUCCUAGUGUAGCGGUGAAAUGCGUAGAUAUUAGGAGGAACACCAGUGGCGAAGGCGGCUUUCUGGACUGUAACUGACGCUGAGGCUCGAAAGCGUGGGGAGCGAACAGGAUUAGAUACCCUGGUAGUCCACGCCGUAAACGAUGAAUGCUAGGUGUAGGAGGUAUCGACCCCUUCUGUGCCGGAGUUAACGCAAUAAGCAUUCCGCCUGGGGAGUACGGCCGCAAGGCUGAAACUCAAAGGAAUUGACGGGGGCCCGCACAAGCGGUGGAGUAUGUGGUUUAAUUCGACGCAACGCGAAGAACCUUACCAGGGCUUGACAUUGAGUGAAAGGACAAGAGAUUGUCCCCUCUCUUCGGAGACACGAAAACAGGUGGUGCAUGGCUGUCGUCAGCUUGUGUCGUGAGAUGUUGGGUUAAGUCCCGCAACGAGCGCAACCCCUAUUCUUUGUCGCCAGCACGUAAUGGUGGGAACUCAAAGGAGACUGCCGCGGACAACGCGGAGGAAGGCGGGGAUGACGUCAAGUCAUCAUGCCCCUUAUGUCCUGGGCUACACACGUACUACAAUGGGAUGGACAGAGAGCAGCGAAGCCGCGAGGCCAAGCGAACCC
rnacentral:rRNA from 1 species